rnacentral:rRNA from 1 species
GAUAGUUCCUUGAACCGCAUGGUUCAAGGAUGAAAGACGGUUUCGGCUGUCACUUACAGAUGGACCCGCGGCGCAUUAGCUAGUUGGUGGGGUAAUGGCUCACCAAGGCGACGAUGCGUAGCCGACCUGAGAGGGUGAUCGGCCACACUGGGACUGAGACACGGCCCAGACUCCUACGGGAGGCAGCAGUAGGGAAUCUUCCGCAAUGGACGAAAGUCUGACGG